AGCGAACGUUAGCGGCAGGCUUAACACAUGCAAGUCGAGCGAGAAAGGGACUUCGGUCCUGAGUAAAGCGGCGGACGGGUGCGUAACACGUGGAUAAUCUGCCUCGUGGCGGGGGACAACAGUUCGAAAGGACUGCUAAUACCGCAUGUCAGGUCCGGAGCUUAUGCCUCGGACCAAAAAGAGGGCGCCCGCAAGGGGCUCUCACCACGAGAUGAGUCCGCGGCCCAUCAGCUAGUUGGCGGGGUAAUGGCCCACCAAGGCAAAGACGGGUAGCUGGUCUGAGAGGAUGGCCAGCCACACUGGGACUGAGACACGGCCCAGACUCCUACGGGAGGCAGCAGUGGGGAAUAUUGGACAAUGGGCGAAAGCCUGAUCCAGCCAUGCCCCGUGAGUGAUGAAGGUCUUCGGAUCGUAAAGCUCUGUGGGAAGGGACGAAACAGUGCGACCUAAUACGUCGCACCUUGACGGUACCUUCUUAGCAAGCACCGGCUAACUCCGUGCCAGCCGCCGCCGUAAAAC
rnacentral:rRNA from 1 species